rnacentral:rRNA from 1 species
UACGGGGGGGGCAAGCGUUGUUCGGAAUUACUGGGCGUAAAGGGCUCGUAGGCGGCCAACUAAGUCAGACGUGAAAUCCCUCGGCUUAACCGGGGAACUGCGUCUGAUACUGGAUGGCUCGAGUUCGGGAGAGGGAUGCGGAAUUCCAGGUGUAGCGGUGAAAUGCGUAGAUAUCUGGAGGAACACCGGUGGCGAAGGCGGCAUCCUGGACCGACACUGACGCUGAGGAGCGAAAGCCAGGGGAGCAAACGGG